UACAGAGGUCUCAAGCGUUGUUCGGAUUCAUUGGGCGUAAAGGGUGCGUAGGCGGUGCAGCAAGUCGGGUGUGAAAUCCCUCAGCUCAACUGAGGAAUUGCGCCCGAAACUGCUGUGCUAGAGGAAGAUAGAGGUACGCGGAACUUAGGGUGGAGCGGUGAAAUGCGUUGAUAUCCUAAGGAACACCGGUGGCGAAAGCGGCGUACUGGGUCUUAUCUGACGCUGAGGCACGAAAGCUAGGGAGCGACGGG
rnacentral:rRNA from 1 species